UACAGGAGGGGCAAGCGUUAUUCGGAAUUAUUGGGCGUAAAGGGCGCGUAGGCGGCCUGGCAAGUGGAAGGUGAAAUCCCUCGGCUUAACCGAGGAACUGCCCUCCAAACUGCUUGGCUUGAGUCCGGGAGAGGUGAGUGGAAUUCCCAGUGUAGCGGUGAAAUGCGUAGAUAUUGGGAGGAACACCAGUGGCGAAGGCGGCUCACUGGACCGGAACUGACGCUGAGGCGCGAAAGCGUGGGGAGCAAACGGG
rnacentral:rRNA from 1 species